rnacentral:rRNA from 1 species
UACGAAGGGGGCUAGCGUUGUUCGGAAUUACUGGGCGUAAAGCGCGCGUAGGCGGAUCGCUAAGUCAGGGGUGAAAUCCCAGGGCUCAACCCUGGAACUGCCUUUGAUACUGACGGUCUGGAGAUCGGGAGAGGUGAGUGGAAUUCCGAGUGUAGAGGUGAAAUUCGUAGAUAUUCGGAGGAACACCAGAAGCGAAGGCGGCUCACUGGCCCGAUACUGACGCUGAGGCGCGAAAGCGUGGGGAGCAAACGGG